rnacentral:rRNA from 1 species
UACGUAGGGGGCUAGCGUUGUCCGGAAUCAUUGGGCGUAAAGCGCGUGUAGGCGGUCCGGUAAGUCCGCUGUGAAAGUCGGGGGCUCAACCCUCGGAUGCCGGUGGAUACUGUCGGGCUUGAGUACGGAAGAGGCGAGUGGAAUUCCUGGUGUAGCGGUGAAAUGCGCAGAUAUCAGGAGGAACACCUGCGGCGAAGGCGGGUUGCUGGGCUGACACUGACGCUGAUGCGCGAAAGCUAGGGGAGCGAACGGG